rnacentral:sRNA from 1 species
UAGGAUGAACGACCGCCACAAGUCUAAA